AAUGUCUGGGCAGGGGCUGUAAAAUUGGAACAGGUCCCCCCUCAAUCCUUAAUGUGGUGGCAGAGACCCCUGAGGGGAUGUGCAGAGGGCCUUGGUUCUCAGCUGGGCUGUGGAGCUGGGCCCUCAGGGAGUUUUGCAUACCCACGAAGCUGCUCUCUCAGGCUCCUCUGGCAGGGAGCGUCAGGAUGAGAAUCCAGACCUGACUGCCACCCAGCCCUCUCACUUUGCAGAUGCAAAAAUCCAGACUCAGAAAGGGAAGUAACUUCUCCAACAGGGCGGGGUCUGAAGCCCAGGGUCACGACCCCACCAAGCUGGCCCUGCAGGAGCCUCCUGAGAGGUGUCUCGGGAGCAGACCCAGGGGAAGGGGGCACUGUGCACCCUUGCUGGGUAGGCAAAAGUCUGUCUGCUUCUUGGCAGCUGUGUGGCUUCAAAGCCCAGAGAGCAGGAACUGAAGACUGAGCAAGCCACCCCUCUCCUGUCCCAGACCCACCUGAACCCACCAAAGCUGGGAAAGGAGGGGUAGUGGAGACUCCAGAAAAACAGGAAAAAUUUAAACACAACCACUAAGUAAAGCGUCAUUAACUCCUGUUGUGCUGAGCCCACAAACAGCCCCAGCACUCACUGUUCUACUGUCUGUUGCUGUGCAUUUGACAACUCUAGGGACCUCAUCAUAGAAUCAUGAAUGGAGUCUCUAUGAGGGCAGGGAUGUUGGUUGGCUGUAUCCUCGGGCUGGAAGAGCACCGGCACGCAGCAGGCACUGAAUAGAAUUUCUAAAUAUACAAACGGAUGAACCAAUGGAUGGAUGGAUGAAUGAAGACCCUGUAUAGGUCAGUGCCUCAAAUGUCUGUGCCUCGCCUGGAGUUAUGUCCCUCACCCCCACUGUAGAUUAACUCCUCGUCCCACCCUACAGCUUUGGAACUGAAGCCCUAGGCCCACCACCCCUGAGAGGUAGCAGUGCUCAGCGUGGCAGGACGCCCCACUUGAUGGUAGGCUUCUCCCAGAUGGCUAACUGCUUCAAGUCUUUCCCCCAGAUGUAACAUGUCUAUGGGAGGAUUAUGACAUGGGCAGAUGAGAGUCCCCAGCCAUGGAGGUGACAAUGUGCCCUGGAGCCUCACAGGGCAGCAGCCACCAGGAAGAGGCAUGGAGGCCAGGAAGGUCCUGAACACUAGAAUUCGGCCAACAGAGCCUGAAGCCAGCACAUCGUGGAGGGGCAGCAGCCUGGGGGCAUUCGGGAGAUCUGGAGACAUGGCAGCUGGUCAGGAGCUGGGCUACAACCUUGACAAUCACUAACCUCUCACCUCCUCGUCCUGCCAGGCUAUUUAUAGCCUCCCUGUCUCUGAAAACUCCUUCACCCAUUUUUCUGAGCUUAACAAGCUUGGUGAAUUGAAAUCAGGUGGACCACCUCCCCAACCUCAGCAAGCCUGCUGGGGUGACUGCAUUCAGGCCAGGCCUGCUGGCAGCUCCUGCUCCAUGACAGGGACCCUUGAGGGCCUGCUGAGAGUCACAGGGUUGGGGUGUCCCCGGGAAGGUGGCAUCUAAAGAGAGGGCAGCAGCUGGGCACCCAGGCAGACCUCAGCCAGAGAUGCUGGACGAUGGUGACCCCAGAAGGGCUCAGCUCACCCCAGGCCUCCUCCCUGCUUCAGGAAAAACAAACAGAUUGGGACAGUGGAAAAACAGCUGUACCUUUAAAUUAUCUGGCCCACAGAUAUGAAAAACAUUUGCAUGCUGAAGCUGUUUGCAUCUUCGGUUAUUUUUAGGGUGAACCCAGUUGCCUCCCCUUGGAACCGGAUGAAGCCCCAGAGGCACGUAGUCCUUUUUCCCAGACGGGGGUCCUGGUCCUGUUUCCCUGGGAAUAAGGCUUGAGCAUGAGCUCUCUGGGACCCAGCCCCGGACCAGAACCACACGGUGCAUUCAGGCUCAGGAGGAACUGGAGCACCAGGGAGCCAAGGCUGCAACUUUGAACAUUUGCCACUGCUGACAUCGUGGCCACCCACCUGGGGCCAGAAAGAGCCCCUCUGCUGCCCCCAGAGCAUGGGUGAAGAGAUGAACGCUUAGCCUACUGCCUCCUCUCAUGCCAGGCCCAGCUGAUGGGAUAUUUUGCUGAGAUAUUUCUAGCGCCAGCAGCAAUUAAAGCAGAUUUUCUCUUCCACUCCCCUUCCCCAAAACAAGAAUAAAUCAGUUCUACCAAU
rnacentral:lncRNA from 1 species